rnacentral:misc_RNA from 1 species
UUUAGAGACGUAAGCACUUCUAUGGGAUUCAAAUUACUUCCAGGUUUCUUAUAUGAUAUGCAAACUUCCUGAUAAGCUACUGUCAAGGACAACCAACCGUUGUGCAGGAUGUAAAUUAAAUCACCUAAGUUGUCUUUUCAAUCAUUUUGCUCAUGGAUUUUCUAUGAGCUCAAUAUGUCCCUUUGCUGUGAAAAAGACAAAGUUGAG